GUCAAAUAGUCGCUGGCUAAUGAUAAUAAACGAACGGAACACCACCGCACCUCACCGCACCGCAACAGUAACAAAAGCCAAGGAACAAAAUCUAGACAUUUUAUUGCAGCCUUUUGUCGAAGGCGACGACUGCUUCUUCCGCACGUAGUCAGAGUCAGUCGGAGAUUUCCAGAUCAAGUUCAAGUUUCAAGCAUAGAAGAGAGAUGCGAUGCUGCCACAGAGAACUAGACUAGAAGCAUUGAACGGAAACAGAAACUAAAACCAAAACAUGGUUUGCUUUGACCCAUUGAACUGCUUUGAUAACCUACCCAACGCCCCCCAUUGAGCAGGUUUGAAUUGAAUAUUGAAAAUGCAUUAAUAAUGUCGGGACGGCGCGAACGCCAUUCCCGGCUACCAAAAAUUACACGCACGAGUUAUUCACAUUAGGAAUAAUCGCAGAGGUCAACUCAGCCGAAGUGCAAUGGCCAAGCCUCACUCCGGAGGAACCGCCUUCGUGAUCACGGUUAACCUCUACG
rnacentral:lncRNA from 1 species